UCUCUUUUUCUCAUUUUGUUAGAUCUCAAGCAUUUUGCUAUAGAUGAACACAUGCAUAUUUAAUAUAUUCUAUAUUUAUUAUACUUAUUUAGAUUUUAUAGGAUCAAUUUCAAAAGCAUAUACUUAUAAUAAAUAAUCUCUAUUUAAUUUCUUAGAACACUCCUUUUUAUUAAGGAUUUUUCAAGCUAGGUUUUUCUCUUAUAAGAUAUCACUAGCUCUUUGGUUUUGAUUCUUAUCUUGAUUUUUUUUUUGUUAUUUGUCGUCUUUAACUUUUAAAAUCCCAUCUAUAAAAAGUUUUGGAUCGAAUAGGAGAUUAAUCUCAAAAUCGAUCUAAACUGCAUCGCAAAAACUCUGAUGAAAUCUGAUUUUCUUUAAUGUUUUAAAAUGCGUGUUUUUUUAGGUUACCUUAGAAUAUUUAUAAAAAAAUUUUCCCUUUAAUUUUAAAAUUCCUUCUAUAAAAGGCUUUGAAUCAGAUGAAUGUUUACCUCAAAACUGAUUUAAAUUGUAUCGCGAACAACCUCAUGGUUAACUAACUUUAAAUCCAAUUUUUUUUAGGUUAUCUUUCAAGGUUUUAAAAGCAUUCUUUUGUUGUUAUUUAUUAAGAAGUUGAUCCAACUAAUUAUAUAUUUUUUUUGUUUAUUUAUAAAAUAUUGGGGAUUUGUUUUUGCUUUUUGUUUUAUUGUUGAGUUGAGGUAUGAAUUGAGUUCAAAUGAGUAGAUUCCUUUCAAAGACCCUCGUGUGUUAAACUUAAUCUAACCACUAAUAGCAUGCCACAUCAGCUUCUCCUCGUGGCCUUGUCCACAUAUAUAAAAUCUCAAAUUUUUAUGAACCCUUCUUUUAGUUCUUUCUUUUUCUAUAUUAUUUAUUUGAUGUUGCUCUUUCUUUUUAAUUAUAGUCUAUAAGACUUUUUAGCCAUUAUAAGCUAAAGAUGAGAUUGAAAAUCAAAUAUUAAUGAUAUUUCUAUGGUGGAGAGUUUGAAGAUUAUCAUCAUCAUCAUCAUCACAGUCGUUAUUUGCAGAUGUAGCAUCAUCAAGAUUCACAUAUGAAUGAUGUAGUGGAACACUGGUCUCAUGCUAAUCCAUUGAUUUUUUGAAGUGAGAAUCUUGAUGAUGCUGCAUCAGCCAUUAAUGACUUUAUAAAGUUUUAUGAAAGUGAAGAAUGCAAAAAUAUUCAGAAACUGUCUAUAUAUGAGAUCAAGAACACUCAGUCCCUUUGAUACUUUCUUUCAGGUCUCCGAAUUCAUGCUACACUCGAUCCACCCCUGCUCCGAAGAAUUAAUUAGCACACCUCGAAGGGUUGGAACGUCCAAAUAGGUAUUACGUAAGAGAUUCAAUGUUCGAUCUCAGCUACUAAUAAUUCUCUUUCUUCUAAUUAACUUCAAUAUGUUGCCUUGACCAAAAAAAGAAUCAAAUAUGUUAUUUUUUUGUGCUAAUUAUAUUGAAGAUAUAAUAGAUAGACAUGAUUUGUGAAUUGUUAAUUACUUGGAAUAUGCAGAUUCUUAAAGCCAAAUGUAUUCUUGGUUUGGGGAAGGGCUUAUAAAUAAUUUGUGUCCCCAUGACCACCAGCUUCAUCCUUGUUUGUUUACUAGCUACAUUUAAUAUUAAUUAUAUAUGUAUCUAUUGGAGUUAAUUAAAUUAGAAAAUUUGAAGUAUAUGGACAUGUUCCAAGUGGUUUGCAUAUGAGGAUCAAUGAAAAUUGAAGCUAGCUAGCUUGGGAAUUGAAUAUGUAAAA